rnacentral:rRNA from 1 species
ACCGGCAAACGGGUGCGGAACACGUACACAACCUUCCUUUUAGUGGAGAAUAGCCCAGGGAAACUUGGAUUAAUACUCCGUAACAUAUAGAAGUGGCAUCACUUUUAUAUUAUAGCAGCAAUGCGCUAGAAGAUGGGUGUGCGGCUGAUUAGAUAGUUGGCGGGGUAACGGCCCACCAAGUCGACGAUCAGUAACUGGUGUGAGAGCACGACCAGUCACACGGGCACUGAGACACGGGCCCGACUCCUACGGGAGGCAGCAGUAAGGAAUAUUGGUCAAUGGACGCAAGUCUGAACCAGCCAUGCCGCGUGGAGGAUGAAGGUCCUCUGGAUUGUAAACUUCUUUUAUCUGGGAAGAAAUCCAUUUUUUCUAAAAUGGUUGACGGUACCAGAUGAAUAAGCACCGGCUAACUCCGUGCCAGCAGCCGCGGUAAUACGGAGGGUGCAAGCGUUAUCCGGAUUCACUGGGUUUAAAGGGUGCGUAGGUGGGCAAGUAAGUCAGUGGUGAAAUCUCCGGGCUUAACCCGGAAACUGCCAUUGAUACUAUUUGUCUUGAAUACUGUGGAGGUCAGCGGAAUAUGUCAUGUAGCGGUGAAAUGCUUAGAUAUGACAUAGAACACCAAUUGCGAAGGCAGCUGGCUACACAAAUAUUGACACUGAGGCACGAAAGCGUGGGGAUCAAACAGGAUUAGAUACCCUGGUAGUCCACGCCGUAAACUAUGGAUACUCGACAUUUGCGAUAAACUGCAAGUGUCUGAGCGAAAGCAUUAA